rnacentral:rRNA from 1 species
ACGCUCGACACCUACGGUAGGCAGCAGUGGGGAAUUUUGCGCAAUGGGGGCAACCCUGACGCAGCAACGCCGCGUGCGGGACGAAGGCCUUCGGGUCGUAAACCGCUUUCAGCAGGGAAGACAGCGACGGUACCUGCAGAAGAAGCCCCGGCUAACUACGUGUCAGCAGCCGCGGUAAUCUGAGCGGGCUGGCAAGGC